AUUUAUGUAGUUUAAGNAAAACAUUACAUUUUCACUGUAAAAAUAUUAAUUUAAUCAUAAAUU
rnacentral:tRNA from 1 species